rnacentral:lncRNA from 1 species
CCCGGAGUCUCCCUUUCAUCAGAUGCCAGACCCUCUGGGACCCUGGACAAGCACGUGAGCCGGAAGGGCCCUGCACGGCCCCCACGCUCCGCGUGUUCUGACACUUCCGUGACAGCCUCCUGAUGCCCCAGCUCUGUGUUUGCCUCUCCAGUGACUACAGUGACUCAAUACCAUCAGCUGCCUCCUUCUGCAACUGAGCUUGCAGUAUCAUUGAAGCUGAUUACAAGAGACCCCAAGACGCCACCUAGCACAGUUCCGAGGUGAAUAUGAUCAGCCUUUGAAGAAGCUAAAUGACUGACAGCCUGUCAAUAAAACCUGUGCCCUUUUGGAGCGCUCA